rfam:Picea glauca, whole genome shotgun sequence.
UGCUGCGAUCAUACAAGUGUUAAUGCAUCGAAUCCCAUAGGAACUUCGCAGUUAAGCAUGCUUUGGAUAGAGUAGUACUGGGAUGGGUGACCUCCUGGGAAGUCCUAGUUUUGCACCCU